ACGGGAGGCAGCAGUGGGGAAUUUUGCGCAAUGGGGGAAACCCUGACGCAGCAACGCCGCGUGCGGGAUGAAGGCCUUCGGGUUGUAAACCGCUUUCAGCAGGGAAGAAUUUGACGGUACCUGCAGAAGAAGCCCCGGCUAAAUACGUGCCAGCAGCCGCGGUAAUACGUAUGGGGCGAGCGUUAUCCGGAUUCAUUGGGCGUAAAGCGCGCGUAGGCGGCCAGGCAAGCGGGUGUCUUAAAUCUGGGGGCUCAACCCUCAGCCGGACCCCGAACUGCAGGGCUCGAGUUCGGUAGGGGUGACCGGAAUUCCCAGUGUAGCGGUGAAAUGCGCAGAUAUUGGGAAGAACACCGAUGGCGAAGGCAGGUCACUGGGCCGCAACUGACGCUGAGGCGCGAAAGCUGGGGGAGCGAACAGGAUUAGAUACCCUGGUA
rnacentral:rRNA from 1 species